rnacentral:sRNA from 1 species
GUAAUAGAAUGGGCUUAAAGGGUCGGUCGGCUACCUCUCCAUUGAAGGGAGGGAUGCCUUGUGACAGUGUUUGAAGCAAUGAUGCUUAUGCUAACCUUCGGUUCGCUUAUCGUAGCGCUGCUGUCUGAUAAACGCAAAUAGACCGCCCCCCGAACAAAGGUAUGCGGUCUACUUGUCGUGUCCUGUUUGUUGAAAGCCCACCGCCCUUAAAAGCGGCUAUUGCAUUGGGAGCCGUGUUAACGCACGGCUC